rnacentral:rRNA from 1 species
UGUAUAAUGGGUCAGCGACUUAUAUUCUGUAGCAAGGUUAACCGAAUAGGGGAGCCGAAGGGAAACCGAGUCUUAACUGGGCGUUAAGUUGCAGGGUAUAGACCCGAAACCCGGUGAUCUAGCCAUGGGCAGGUUGAAGGUUGGGUAACACUAACUGGAGGACCGAACCGACUAAUGUUGAAAAAUUAGCGGAUGACUUGUGGCUGGGGGUGAAAGGCCAAUCAAACCGGGAGAUAGCUGGUUCUCCCCGAAAGCUAUUUAGGUAGCGCCUCGUGAAUUCAUCUCCGGGGGUAGAGCACUGUUUCGGCAAGGGGGUCAUCCCGACUUACCAACCCGAUGCAAACUGCGAAUACCGGAGAAUGUUAUCACGGGAGACACACGGCGGGUGCUAACGUCCGUCGUGAAGAGGGAAACAACCCAGACCGCCAGCUAAGGUCCCAAAGUCAUGGUUAAGUGGGAAACGAUGUGGGAAGGCCCAGACAGCCAGGAUGUUGGCUUAGAAGCAGCCAUCAUUUAAAGAAAGCGUAAUAGCUCACUGGUCGAGUCGGCCUGCGCGGAAGAUGUAACGGGGCUAAACCAUGCACCGAAGCUGCGGCAGCGACACUAUGUGUUGUUGGGUAGGGGAGCGUUCUGUAAGCCUGUGAAGGUGGCCUGUGAGGG